rnacentral:rRNA from 1 species
GACGAACGCUGGCGGCGUGCUUAACACAUGCAAGUCGAACGGAAAGGCCCUGCUUUUGUGGGGUGCUCGAGUGGCGAACGGGUGAGUAACACGUGAGUAACCUGCCCUUGACUUUGGGAUAACUUCAGGAAACUGGGGCUAAUACCGGAUAGGAGCUCCUGCUGCAUGGUGGGGGUUGGAAAGUUUCGGCGGUUGGGGAUGGACUCGCGGCUUAUCAGCUUGUUGGUGGGGUAGUGGCUUACCAAGGCUUUGACGGGUAGCCGGCCUGAGAGGGUGACCGGGCCCAAUAGGACUGAGAUACGGCCCAGAGUACUAUGGGAGGCAGCGGUGGGGAAUAUUGCACAAUGGGAGGAAGCGUGAUGCAGAGACGCCGGGUGCGGGAUGACGGCCUUCGGGGUGUAAACCGCUUUCGCCUGUGACGAAGCGUGAGUGACGGUAAUGGGUAAAGAAGCACCGGCUAACUACGUG